AUGGCGACGAACGCUGGCGGCGUGCUUAACACAUGCAAGUCGAGCGAGGAGCUUCGGCUCCUAGCGGCGAACGGGUGAGUAACACGUGGGCAACCUGCCCCAAGCUCUGGAAUAACUCCGGGAAACCGGGGCUAAUGCCGGAUAUGACGCUACCGGGCAUCUGGUGGUGUGGAAAGAUUUAUCGGCUUGGGAUGGGCCCGCGGCCUAUCAGCUUGUUGGUGGGGUGAUGGCCUACCAAGGCGACGACGGGUAGCCGGCCUGAGAGGGCGAUCGGCCACACUGGGACUGAGACACGGCCCAGACUCCUACGGGAGGCAGCAGUGGGGAAUAUUGCGCAAUGGGCGAAAGCCUGACGCAGCGACGCCGCGUGAGGGAUGACGGCCUUCGGGUUGUAAACCUCUUUCAGCAGGGACGAAGCGCAAGUGACGGUACCU
rnacentral:rRNA from 1 species